GAUGAACGCUGGCUGCGUGCCUAAUACAUGCAAGUCGAGCGAACAGACGAGGAGCUUGCUCCUCUGACGUUAGCGGCGGACGGGUGAGUAACACGUGGAUAACCUACCUAUAAGACUGGGAUAACUUCGGGAAACCGGAGCUAAUACCGGAUAAUAUAUUGAACCGCAUGGUUCAAUAGUGAAAGACGGUUUUGCUGUCACUUAUAGAUGGAUCCGCGCCGCAUUAGCUAGUUGGUAAGGUAACGGCUUACCAAGGCAACGAUGCGUAGCCGACCUGAGAGGGUGAUCGGCCACACUGGAACUGAGACACGGUCCAGACUCCUACGGGAGGCAGCAGUAGGGAAUCUUCCGCAAUGGGCGAAAGCCUGACGGAGCAACGCCGCGUGAGUGAUGAAGGUCUUCGGAUCGUAAAACUCUGUUAUUAGGGAAGAACAAAUGUGUAAGUAACCAUGCACGUCUUGACGGUACCUAAUCAGAAAGCCACGGCUAACUACGUG
rnacentral:rRNA from 1 species